CCCUACGGGGGCAGCAGUGAGGAAUAUUGGUCAAUGGGAGAGAUCCUGAACCAGCCAAGCCGCGUGAGGGAAGACGGCCCUAUGGGUUGUAAACCUCUUUUGUCGGAGAACAAAACCCGGGACGUGUCCCGGACUGCGUGUAUCCGAAGAAAAAGCAUCGGCUAACUCCGUGCCAGCAGCCGCGGUAAUACGGAGGAUGCGAGCGUUAUCCGGAUUUAUUGGGUUUAAAGGGUGCGCAGGUGGAUUUUUAAGUCAGCGGUCAAAUCGUGGGGCUCAACCCCAUCCAGCCGUUGAAACUGGGGAUC
rnacentral:rRNA from 1 species